ensembl:lncRNA
CACUGGGGGAGGAUUUCUCAUUGGAGGUCUCUCCUUUGUGGAGUUUUUCCUGCAAACCUAGAUCUUCAGAGACAGAAUGAAUAUAGAAACUUGGUAUCUCAGAGAUGCAUAAAAUUCUCUGAUCUUAUUUCAAAAACAAGGAGCCUUGAUAUAGUUCCAUGGCUCUUUCUCACGUGAAGAUGUUUCAAGGACAUACACGUGCUUGGGAAAACACUUCUAAUACGAAGAAUUUUGUACACUCUGUAAAUCAUUAUAACAUUUUCUUUUUAAAGUCAAACGUAAAUGUGUUGGAGGAACUAGCGAAUGUUGAAGGAAGACAGCAAUGGCUUAAUAAAUAAAUAAAUAAAUGGAUAGGUAGGUAGAUAGAUGUGGAUGGACGGCUGACCCAGGGAGGUCAUAUUUAUCUUCCCCUGGGUCGGUGCAAGCAAAACAGCUGCUAUGGAUCACUGUCUCACACAGAACAACAAUGGGUGUAGGCGAAAGGAAUGCAGAGCUGCAAUAGAGACCACUGUGCCAGGUGCCGUGAGACAAGCUGCAAGCAACUGCAAGUUAUGAGAACUGUGCCAGCACUGCCUUCUGGUCCUCUGUCUCAUUAUACUGCAUGCUAAUGGACUCUCAGGAACAUAAUGAAAAUGUAUCUGAAUUCCUGUCAACUAUUGAUUAUGUAUUAGUUUGACCUAUAUCUAUAGCACAAUUUCUUCUGACAGUGUGCAAGUUAGGUGGAGUGAUCCCCCUUGCACCAUCAAUAGACAUCAAUAGACACAUGCCUGCUCUAUAUCCUUACCGGAUAUAGGGUCUGAUUUCCGCAAGUCAAUUUGGAAAUGAGAAUGGAUCCUCUCUGUUCGGCUGCCGGAUCGGUUGAGAGAGGGGACAACUUUGGCACGCCCCAAGAUUUCUUGGAAGGUCUCCGUUCCUCACCCGAUCACUGCAGGGACAGACAAGGACCAUCCAUAGGUGGAUCAGGUAUGUGUAUAGAAAAGGUGGGUGCCCAUAAGGCAUGAGGAGAUGUCCUACGCAGGGUAUGAAGGAGUGUGCCUGCUCCCUCCCCCGAGGUAUAUGAGCUUACAGGUUAGGUUGCCGGCUGGGGUAGGACUUGUAACUAAUUGACUAAUGUCCUAGUGUUAUUAAGAUUCACGCUAAAAGACGUCAUCAGCAUUGUGUAUUAUGUAUAAACCUCGUUUUUUGUUCUAAAUGUCAGAGUGAGUGUGCUGUGAGUGAGACGCGUUUCUUUCAGGGAAUGAGUGUCAGCCUGUUUAUGUAGUACUAUGUUCUGAUUGCAUGGAAGCAUGUGAAAGAAUGUGGACAGGCUUCUGUGAGAUCUGUUCCCAAGUGUUUAUAACUGAACAAUAUCACUAUACGGUGUUAAGGGUUUGUGGAAACUUUGAGGGAACUAGGAAUCAAUAAGAAUUUUGUAAACAUCAUGGGAGGUUCCCAGGAGAGAGUUGUGUUUCCACAGGAUCGGCCCAUUAUAGGUUCCCAGUAAAUGGACUAAGCCAGCCCCGAACAUCAACAACCCAUCUCAACCUGACAACAACAGCGACUCCGGCGAGCAAUAGCCGCAUGGUGUGCAAGACAUCAUAUACAGUGCCGUGACUCCCGAGCUGCAACUGGUAUUCCCUUAGCAGAUCACAGAAAACAUCUCAUCGGGAAGGCCUCUUGGACACUGGGAACUGCCAGGAGCAAUUGGCGGUUACAAGAAUCAGAAGUGCACUAAUUGUGGGAGUCGGGUACAGUGAUUGAUCCAGUGUGGGGACUGUGGUAUUUUAUUCAUCGGGAUACCAAAACUGUAGUUAAUACUGGUGUGCUGUGUAGUCUUUACUGUCAGUUUAAUGACAAGGAAUGCUCUGUAGAAGUGUGUAACAUAAAUCUAGUGUAUUCUUAUAGAUAGUGAUUGAUGUGCUGUUUUAACUUAUCAGACCACAGCGAUUCUGCACAUAAACAAUUGCAGUGGCUGAAGGGGCAUACUCAAAAGGUGCAUACAAAUAAGAAUCCGCUUGAUGACUGGCUAGGCAAUCUAUUUGGCAACCUAUUUUCAUGACUACUUGAGCUUGUUAAGGAAGGCUUACGCUGGCUACUGACUAUUAUUACUCUUCUAAUUGUACUUUGUAUUGUUUAUAGUUGCAUAAUGCGCGGUGUGGAAAGGCUCACACAAGGUGUCAUGCUCAUACAAAAAGAAAAAGGGGGAAUUGUUGAGGGUUGGCUCCACAGCCGAGGGGGUCAUGGGUCUCUUGAACAGUUGUACAAGCAGAACAGGCCUAACAAUUGGCAGGAGAUACAAAUGGAAAAGUACUAGCUCGUUAUAGUGGCUGUGAGCUUGGGUGCUAUGUGCACAACCCAGGCUAUGAGACCUUGAAGCUGUCAAAGCAGGAAGACAAACUGAGGCUUCAGUUAAGAUAAGGGGGCAGCUAGCCUGGGAAGAGAUUAAGACAGUGGAAUGGUAUGAAAACAUGCAUGACCAAUGGUAUUGUUAGGCAGGAGGCUUUUCGCAAUGCUCCAACCAAUUACAAGCUGACACGCGUUUGCCACGAUCUAUACAUGUGUGUAAGUAAUUAAUAAUAAACGGAGAUUCUGAUGCACU